rnacentral:rRNA from 1 species
AGCGAAGGGGCGGCAAGCAUGCUAGUCGAGCGGUAGCACAGAGAGCUUGCUCUCGGGUGACGAGCGGCGGACGGGUGAGUAAUGUCUGGGAAACUGCCUGAUGGAGGGGGAUAACUACUGGAAACGGUAGCUAAUACCGCAUAACGUCGCAAGACCAAAGUGGGGGACCUUCGGGCCUCAUGCCAUCAGAUGUGCCCAGAUGGGAUUAGCUAGUAGGUGGGGUAACGGCUCACCUAGGCGACGAUCCCUAGCUGGUCUGAGAGGAUGACCAGCCACACUGGAACUGAGACACGGUCCAGACUCCUACGGGAGGCAGCAGUGGGGAAUAUUGCACAAUGGGCGCAAGCCUGAUGCAGCCAUGCCGCGUGUGUGAAGAAGGCCUUCGGGUUGUAAAGCACUUUCAGCGGGGAGGAAGGCGAUAAGGUUAAUAACCUUGUUGAUUGACGUUACCCGCAGAAGAAGCACCGGCUAACUCCGUGCCAGCAGCCGCGGUAAUACGGAGGGUGCAAGCGUUAAUCGGAAUUACUGGGCGUAAAGCGCACGCAGGCGGUCUGUCAAGUCGGAUGUGAAAUCCCCGGGCUCAACCUGGGAACUGCAUUCGAAACUGGCAGGCUAGAGUCUUGUAGAGGGGGGUAGAAUUCCAGGUGUAGCGGUGAAAUGCGUAUAGAUCUGGAGGAAUACCGGUGGCGAAGGCGGCCCCCUGGACAAACACUGACGCUCAGGUGCGAAAGCGUGGUGAUGAAACGGGAUUAGAUACCCUGGUAGUCCACGCCGUAAACGAUGUCCAUUUGGAGGUUGUGCCCUUGAAGCUUGGCUUCCGAAACUAACACUUUAAAUCGACCGCCUGGAGAGUACUGCCCCAGGGGUAACACGCAAAUUAAUUUACCAGGUGGCCCCAACAGCCGGGGGAGGCUUUGCUUUAAUUCAAUUCCAAUCGAAGAAACCUUACCUGGGUUUAAACGUCCCCAGAACUUUCCGAAAAAUGGGUUUGGGGUCUUCCGGGAAGGAAAGAACAAUGGAUGGAGGUUUAUUCC